rnacentral:rRNA from 1 species
UACGGAGGGGGCUAGCGUUGUUCGGAAUUACUGGGCGUAAAGCGCACGUAGGCGGAUCAGCAAGUUAGAGGUGAAAGCCCGGGGCUCAACUCCGGAAUUGCCUUUAAGACUGCAUCGCUAGAAUUGUGGAGAGGUAAGUGGAAUUCCGAGUGUAGAGGUGAAAUUCGUAGAUAUUCGGAAGAACACCAGUGGCGAAGGCGACUUACUGGACACAUAUUGACGCUGAGGUGCGAAAGCGUGGGGAGCAAACAGG